rnacentral:rRNA from 1 species
AACGAACGCUGGCGGCAGGCCUAACACAUGCAAGUCGAGCGCGCCCUUCGGGGUGAGCGGCGGACGGGUGAGUAACGCGUGGGAACGUGCCCUUUUCUACGGAAUAGCCUCGGGAAACUGAGAGUAAUACCGUAUACGCCCUUUGGGGGAAAGAUUUAUCGGAAAAGGAUCGGCCCGCGUUGGAUUAGGUAGUUGGUGGGGUAAUGGCCUACCAAGCCGACGAUCCAUAGCUGGUUUGAGAGGAUGAUCAGCCACACUGGGACUGAGACACGGCCCAGACUCCUACGGGAGGCAGCAGUGGGGAAUCUUAGACAAUGGGGGCAACCCUGAUCGAGCCAUGCCGCGUGAGUGAUGAAGGCCUUAGGGUUGUAAAGCUCUUUCAGCUGGGAAGAUAAUGACGGUACCAGCAGAAGAAGCCCUGGCUAACUCCGUG